CCCGUAAACGAUAAACAAUGACACACAAGUUUUUGACAUGUUAAUGGCCCAAAGAGUUCUUACGUAAACCAUGUCACGAUAUAUGUAAACUACGUAAACUAGGCCAUAUUAUUAACACUGUAUAAUGUUAACCACGGGGUGAAUUGUGCGAUGCACUGUAUAUUUUAUCUAACAAUUGCGACAUAAAUAAAGCCUAAGAACUGUCAGUAUAUUUCUUGCGACGCCCACAGCUACAGUAAGAACCCUACAUCAUUGACAUGUCUGAUGUGUGGACGACUGCGAAACAGAUUUUAAGAACCCAUUUGAUGAACAAUUUUAGAUUGAUGCGUUUGUAGUAAUUGUAAACAGAACUUUUAUGAGGCAUGCUGUAAAAUGUGGAAUGGUGUAAAGUGACGGAAAAGUUGACAUUUUGCGAAGCAACAACUUUUACCUGAUUCAAAGAUUUGAAAUGCGAUAUACCAGUAUAAAGAUCCAAGCCAUUGAACUUUUGAUUGCGAAAUACAAAUUUUGAGAAUAAACAUUUUAUAGUGAUUCGUGAAACAACAGUAAGAAGACCGAACAAUUGAAGUGAACUUUUACUAGAGGUAUUGACUCAUUAUUGGUUAUUACAUUAAUUUAUUUGGUAUGUUUUGGUAUGUUGUAUUAUGUUUACAUUCUUGAUAGUAUUUGAAUAUUGGGUAUAAGGAUUCUUUAAACUGUAUUAACAUGAUGAAAUGCAUGAACGUUUGGGGACAAAACGUAUGCUUAUUUUGAAUAUGAUGCACUUGAAUUUUGCUAGAAUUUUAAAGGGUUACAUAUUUGAUUGAUAUCAUAUAGUUAAUGAUUUAUGUUGCCACUUACCUGGUCAUUUUUAAUGAUUUGAUUGAAACUACA